rnacentral:snoRNA from 1 species
CUAAUAUGGAUAUCCUAGGGGGUUACUCCCAGGUUACUCCCAGAGCAUAGGCCUCUGCCCUCUGGUGUAUACUCACCAUGUACAGAAAUACACCCUUUCCACUGUAUUGCAGAUCAAGCCAGGCCUCAAGUCUACCCCUGCGUAUUCAUCUCUAGCUCCUCAAAGUCCGCUGAAUGAUGAUUGGAGGGAAAAAACAUGCAGGAACAAUUU